rnacentral:rRNA from 1 species
GUGUCAGCCGCCGCGGUAGUACGGAGGAUGCGAGCGUUAUCCGGAUUUAUUGGGUUUAAAGGGUGCGCAGGCGGGCUUUUAAGUCAGCGGUGAAAUCUCGACGCUUAACGUCGAAACUGCCGUUGAAACUGGGAGUCUUGAGUAUAGAUGAAGUAGGCGGAAUUCGUUGUGUAGCGGUGACAUGCUUAGAUAUAACGAGGAACUCCGAUUGCGUAGGCAGCUUACUAAGCUAUAACUGACGCUCAAGCACGAAAGCGUGGGGAUCAAACAGGAUUAGAUACCCUGGUAGUCCACGCCGUAAACGAUGAUUACUAGUUGUAUGCGAUAUACUGUAUGUGACUAAGCGAAAGCGAUAAGUAAUCCACCUGGGGAGUACGCCGGCAACGGUGAAACUCAAAGGAAUUGACGGGGGCCCCGCACAAGCGGAGGAACAUGUGGUUUAAUUCGAUGAUACGCGAGGAACCUUACCCGGGCUUGAAAUGCAGAAGAAUAAGGAGGAAACUUUUAGCCAGCAAUGGCUUCUGUGUAGGUGCUGCAUGGUCGCCGCCA